GCCAGGCGUGGCGGCGUGCGCCUGUAGUCCCAGCUACUUGGGAGGCUGAGGCAGGAGAAUUGCUUGAACCCAGGAGGUGGAGGUUGCAGUGAGCCAAGGUCGUGCCACUGCACUCCAGCCUGGGUGACAGAGCGAGACUCUAUCUCAA
rnacentral:SRP_RNA from 1 species